GACGUAGGGCGCGAGCGUUGUCCGGAUUUAUUGGGCGUAAAGAGCUCGUAGGCGGCUUGUUGCGUCGACUGUGAAAGCCCGUGGCUUAACCGCGUGGUCUGCAGUCGAUACGGGCAGGCUAGAGUUCGGUAGGGGGAGACUGGAAUUCCUGGUGUAGCGGUGAAAUGCGCAGAUAUCAGGAGGAACACCGGUGGCGAAGGCGGGUCUCUGGGCCGUAACUGACGCUGAGGAGCGAAAGCGUGGGGAGCGAACAGG
rnacentral:rRNA from 1 species